rnacentral:lncRNA from 1 species
UUGUGACAUAUCUCUGCACUGAUCACCCAGGUGAUGGAAGUCUUGUCUAGCCUCUGUCUAUGGGGGCAUUGUGUCAAAUAUCUGCAUUGAUCACCCAGGUGAUGUAACUCUUGUCCAGACUCUGCCUACUGGAGACAUUGUGACAUAUCUCUGCACUGAUCACCCAGGUGAUGUCACUUUUGUCAAGGAUAUGGCUACAGGGACAUUGUGACAUGUCACUGCACUGAUCACACACCUGAUGUAACUCUUGUCUAGGCUCUGGGUACAGGGGGCUUGUGACACAUCUCUGCACUGAUCACCCAGGUGAUGUAACCCUUGUCUAGCCUCUGCCAAAAGGGGGCAUUUUGACAUAACUCUGCACUGAUCACCCAGGUGAUGGGACUCUUGUCUAGGCUCUGCCUACAGGGGCAUUGUGACAUAUCUCUGCAGUGAUCACGCAGGUGAUGUAACUCUUGUCUAUAUCUGCCUACUGGUGGCAUUGUGGCAUAUGUCUGCACUGAUCACCGAGGUGAUGGAACGCUUGACUAGGCUCUGCCUACGGGGCAUAGUGACAUAUCACUGCAUUGAUCACCGAGGAGAUGUAACUCUUGUCUAGGCUCUGCCUAAAGUGGGCUUGUGACAUAUCUCUGCACUGAUCACCCAGGUGAUAUAACUCUUCUCUAGGAUCUGCCUACUGGGUGCUUUGUGACAUAUCCCUGCAAUGAUCACCCAGGUGAUAUACCACUUGUCAAGGCCCUGCCUACAGGGGCAUUGCGAUGUAUCUCUGCACUGAUCACCUAGGUCAUGUAAAUCUUUUCUAGGCUCUACCUAUAGUGGCAUUGUGACAUAUCUCUGCACUGAUCACCCAGGUGAUGUAACUCUUUUCUAGGAUCUGCCUACAGGGUGCUUUGUGACAUAUCCCUGCAAUGAUCACCCAGGUGAUGUACCACUUGUCAAGGCUCUGCCUACAGGGACAUUGCGAUGUAUCUCUGCACUGAUCACCGAGGUCAUGUAACUCUAGUCUAGGCUCUGCCUACUGUAGCAUAGUGACAUAUCUCUGCACUGAUCAUCCAAGUGAUGUAACCUUUCUCUAGGAUCUGCCUAAAGGGAAUUUGUGACAUAACUCUGCACUGAUCAUCCAGGUGAUGGGGCUUUUAUCUAGGCUCUGCCUAAGGGGGCAUUGUGACAUAUUUCUGCACUGAUCACCCAGGUGAAGGACUCUUGUCUUCGAUCGGCCUAUAGGGGCAUUGUGACAUAUUUCUGCACUGAUCACCCAGGUGAUGGGACUCUUGUCUAGGCUCUGUGUAUGGGGACUUUGUGACAUAUCUCUGCAGUAAUCACCCAGGUGAUGUAACGCUUGACUAGGCUCUGCCUACGGGGCAUAGUGACAUAUCACUGCAUUGAUCACUGAGGUGAUGUAACUCUUGUCCGACUCUGCGUAUAGGGGGCCUUGUGACAUAUCUCUGCACUGAUCAUCUAGGUGAUGUAACUCUUGCUUACACUCUGCCUGCAGGGGCAUUGUGAAAUAUCUCUGCACUGAUCACGCAGGUGAUUGGACUCUUCUGUAGGCUCCGCCUCCUGAGGGCAUUGUCACAUAUUUCUGCAAUGAUCACCCAGGUGACGAACGCUUGUCUUGGAUUUGCCUAUGGGGACAUUGUGACAUAUCUCUGCAAUGAUCAUCCAGGUGAUGUAACUCUGGUCUAAGCUCUGCCUAAAGGGGCCUUGUGACAGAUCUCUGCAGUGAUCACUCAGGUGAUGUAACUAUUGUCGAGGGUCUGCUUAAAGGGGCCUUGUCACAUAUCUCUGCCCUGAUCACCCAGAUGAUGUAACUCUUGUCUAGGCUCUGCUUACAGGGGGCAAUGUGACAUAUCUCUGCAGUGAUCACCUAAGUGAUGUAACAGUUGUGUAGGU